ACGGGUGAGUAGCGCGUGGGAACCUGCCUUGGAGUGGGGGAUAACCGAGGGAAACUUCGGCUAAUACCGCAUACGCCCCGGCGCGAGCCGGGGGAAAGAUUGAUCGCUCCAAGAGGGGCCCGCGUCGGAUUAGGUAGUUGGUGGGGUAACGGCCUACCAAGCCUGUGAUCCGUAGCUGGUCUGAGAGGAUGAUCAGCCACACUGGGACUGAGACACGGCCCAGACUCCUACGGGAGGCAGCAGUGGGGAAUAUUGGACAAUGGGCGCAAGCCUGAUCCAACAAUGCCGCGUGAGUGAUGAAGGCCUUAGGGUUGUAAAGCUCUUUCGCCCGCGACGAUGAUGACGGUAGCGGGAGAAGAAGCCCCGGCUAACUUCGUGCCAGCAGCCGCGG
rnacentral:rRNA from 1 species